ACGUAGGGGGCGAGCGUUAUCCGGAAUUAUUGGGCGUAAAGAGUACGUAGGCGGUCUUUUAAGCGUAGGGUAUAAGGCAGUGGCUCAACCAUUGUUCGCCCUGCGAACUGGAGGACUUGAGUAUCGGAGAGGGAAGCGGAAUUCCUAGUGUAGCGGUGAAAUGCGUAGAUAUUAGGAGGAACACCAGUGGCGAAGGCGGCUUUCUGGACGACAACUGACGCUGAGGUACGAAAGCGUGGGGAGCAAACAG
rnacentral:rRNA from 1 species